rnacentral:rRNA from 1 species
AACGAACGCUGGCGGCGUGCUUAACACAUGCAAGUCGUGCGAGAAAGGGGACUUCGGUCCCUGAGUAGAGCGGCGCACGGGUGAGUAACGCGUGGGUGAUCUACCCGGAAGUCUGGGAUAACGGUGGGAAACUGCCGCUAAUACCGGUUACGCUUCCAAUUCAGGAAUUGGAGGGAAAGACGGCCUCUGCUUGCAAGCUGUCGCUUUCGGAUGAGCCCGCGUCCCAUUAGCUAGUUGGCGGGGUAACGGCCCACCAAGGCAACGAUGGGUAGCUGGUCUGAGAGGAUGAUCAGCCACACUGGGACUGGAACACGGGCCAGACUCCUACGGGUGGCAG